GUCUACUCUUAACUCUACUUAGUAGGCAUACAUACUCAGUUACUUGAUACAGUAUGUAAAGCAUUUGAAAAUCCCAAAUUUAAUAUGCUUAGAACAGAAGAUUUUUGUUGAAAAACAGAUAUUUCAUUGUGGAGCAGUUGAUCAAAACUGAAAAGAAUGGAUAUUAAAAUCUCUUUUGCUACAUUACUUGUACUUUGUUUUCUGGGCUCUGGAAGAGGCAUGUCUCUUUGUCAACUAAGCCUUUUAAAUGGAACGGAAGCUAUAAAUAGUUCCCAAGUUUGCUCACUCGAGUUCUCUUCCAAAG
rnacentral:sRNA from 1 species